UACGUAGGGUGCAAGCGUUGUCCGGAAUUACUGGGCGUAAAGGGCUCGUAGGCGGCCAACUAAGUCAUACGUGAAAUCCCUCGGCUUAACCGGGGAACUGCGUCUGAUACUGGAUGGCUUGAGUUCGGGAGAGGGAUGCGGAAUUCCAGGUGUAGCGGUGAAAUGCGUAGAUAUCUGGAGGAACACCGGUGGCGAAGGCGGCAUCCUGGACCGAUACUGACGCUGAGGAGCGAAAGCCAGGGGAGCAAACGGG
rnacentral:rRNA from 1 species